AGAAAUAUUUAAUACAAGAUCAACAAUUUCUCUCUUUCCACGAUUCACGAAUUUAUCGAAACAGCAAUUAAUAUAACUGCUUCGAAAUGAAAUAUCAUUAGCCAUAAGGUACAAUCUGUUUGGUCGUGCAGGAUCUCAAAACAGGACGCAAUAUACCAAGACAUCUAUCUCAUCACCUCUCGAUGAUUUAAUUUAUUACGCCACUCAACGCAACAUCGAAACGAUUUACUAGCCAAGAUUCGCUAUUAAUUCGCCCGUAUCCGAUCUUCCGAGCCAAGUGACAGUUGUUUAUCAAUUAAAACUCGUUCGCUCGUGAAAAUACGAUGCUGCGACACGGCUACUUACACGAGCCACCGCUAUCGAAGCUACCCCGAAAUUUCAAUCUCCAACGACGCCGUUCGAUCGACGCAAUUAAUGCGACUGCCUUUAAUUAUCUUCCUCGUCUCCUUCAAAAGAGAAGAGGAACCACGCUCGGAACAAGGAAGGAAAAUAUCAAAGGAACACUGAAAGAAACACGAAGAUAAAUGGAAAGAGAGAGACCAAUCUUGGCACAGGCGUGUAAAUAAAGAGGUUUAUUUAUACGCGUGCAAUUAACCAGCGAGCAGAUCGGCAGUCGCAGACGCAACUCUGCUCGAAGUGCAUCAAGUAGCUACUUAUCCACAGCGGUAACUGCGCUGGUGAUAGCGUUAAUAGCGGUGCGUGUGCGCUCAGCUAAAGGUCGUUAAUGCGACGUUAUCCAGAAAAUAGGGCGUCCGUUUUAUCGGUCCCGUCGUUUCGUCGCAUUUUUCGGUGGCCACAGCGUUAUCGUCUGGCCGAUAAAACUUUUGCCGUGAUGGAACAUCGAGAAAUAAUGUCGUCGUUGCUCGGUCGAUCGGUUUUGCUGCGAGUAUUGAGAAGAGGAAGCGUGUUUCGCCAUAUCAGGCCACUUUUAGUCGACGGAUAAGUAACACGAUUUUUAGAUCAUCGAAGAAUAUGCGUUGACGUAUUGCUGGGAAAAUAUUGAUGAUAGAAAGAAAUGGGAUGACAGAGUUGGUGAAAAUACCAGAGAUAGUUUAUUACAAUGGUAUCGUUUUAUUGGUUUAUUUUAGAAGGAUGUUCAAGGAGAAUGUCGAACCAGUGGUUCUAUGAGGAUACUUUUGAUUUGUGCAGGAGUGGAUUGAUAAGAUCGAUGUAAAGUAGCAGAAGUAACAUACCUAAGAGGCAUUCAUAAAUGAAGAUAUUGGCGUGGUAAACAUUAGAUCGUGGAUACUUAGAAAUAUCGAUUGCACAAAAUCGAACUUCGAAUUAUUUUUUUGGGGAAUAAAGAUUGUGAAAUUAAACUACAAAUGUAUAUGCAAAUUCAUACUUUUACAAAUAUAGUUAAAGAAGUUGAAAACAAGCAAUUAUUUCCACUUAGUUAAAUAUGUCAACGAGUACUAUAGAAGUAUUAAAUGGAUAUUUUGUAUAUUCCUGCAUGUUAUAUUUAUUCCAUAUAUUUUAGCAUAUUUAUACUUAUAAUAAAUGGAUAAACAUUCGAUAUCUGAUAAUUAGAUUAAUAAUUUAAAUCGAUAUAAAUUAAUGUGUUUCUUUGUAGAAUUCCUCCACCUAAAGUUUUCAGUGUGAUCGUUGCAAAUAUAUAUAUAUCUUCAACUUGAAGAGCUACUUAAUUAAGGAAAAUAAACGAUAUAAAGAAUUAAUAAUUAUUUUGUGCAAUUUACUUGCAAUUGGAUAAAAAAUCUUGAAGAACGAUCAUUACGAAAGGCAAGAGAAAUUCAUGCGAUUAACGCAGAAAGAUAGUGAAUACAAAUUUAUAAAUACGUCCAAAAAUUUCAAGAACGAGGUCAAAUAGCACGAGAAUGCCUCGCUGUUGCGAAUAAUAAUGAUUAACACCUGUUCGUUAAUUGAAACGUGCCAACAACGCCUGUAAAGCUUUCUGCUUCAAUCACUGUAAUUAUGUAUUUAUAAACGCUAUUUAGCAUUCGUCGGAGAAGGUCUAAGGCUUUUCCUCGGCUAAUGAGUCUUCGUUAUACACGCGUUAAACCUGUCGUCUAAUCGCAUCUGAAAUGUUUUCGAAAAUGAUCAACGCAUCCUUGGCAAGUAUAUUAUAUAUACGUAGAGGUUUUUACAUCCAUCGUGAUUAUACAGAUGACAUGAGAAAUUGCUUCUUUGAUUUCGAGACUACAGUUUAAAGAUAAAUUACUUAAUUAAACAUACUAUGAAAUAGAUAAUAAUAUUAAAUUGCUGUACUGUGUUAAACAAAAAUUAUAAAUAAUAUCAAA